AAAGACUUAAUUCUUGGGUUUCCAUGUCAUCGUCCGUCUUAUAUGAAAUUUUUUUACAAUUAGUAUUUUUAUUAUUGUUAGAUGAUAAAACAUGAAUAAUAUUUUAUGUAUGACUUAUCUUUUAAAAUUUUUUUAUAUUUUUUUCAAAUAAGACAGACGGCCAAACGUUAGACACGGAAACCCAUAAUUUAAG
rfam:Oryza barthii chromosome 10, whole genome shotgun sequence.